rnacentral:rRNA from 1 species
AACGAACGCUGGCGGCAGGCUUAACACAUGCAAGUCGAGCGCCCCGCCAGGGGAGCGGCCGACGGGUGCGUAACGCGUGGGAACGUACCUUUUGGUUCGGAACAACUCCGGGAAACUGGAGCUAAUACCGGAUAAGCCCUAACGGGGAAAGAUUUAUCGCCGAAAGAUCGGCCCGCGUCUGAUUAGCUAGUUGGUGAGGUAACGGCUCACCAAGGCGACGAUCAGUAGCUGGUCUGAGAGGAUGAUCAGCCACACUGGGACUGAGACACGGCCCAGACUCCUACGGGAGGCAGCAGUGGGGAAUAUUGGACAAUGGGCGCAAGCCUGAUCCAGCCAUGCCGCGUGAGUGAUGAAGGCCUUAGGGUUGUAAAGCUCUUUUGUCCGGGAAGAUAAUGACUGUACCGGAAGAAUAAGCCCCGGCUAACUUCGUG